AAGCAGAAGGCCUCUGCGCGGGAAUGAAAGUGCGCAUGCGUAAGAGAGAGCAUGUUGGCCGUUUAACACUAGAUUUUAUUGGCUGCAGACACACGCAGCAUCUUCUUGCGCUCCUCCUUGAGGUGGAUGGGCAGCUAGCUGCAGAUGGCACAGGAUGAUGCGCAUCUUUCGCACGCUGGCUCCAAGAUCUCCGCUGCCAGAUGCAGCAACAAAGCUUCUUUGUACAGACAGCCCUGGACACGCUUCCAGCAGCAAUUCUUCUUGCAGAAACUGGUGCAAGAUGACUUCAACAGAAGUGGAGUAAAUAAAGAUGAUCACAGAACUUGGAAGCUGACGAAAUUAAUUUUGGAAAAGAGCUAGCUUGGAGCAUGACAGAAGAAUGCGAUGGAAAGAGUGCUAGGAGCCCAACUCAAGACUGAUGUGUGCUUGGCAGGCAGUCUACCCCCGAUCUCAGUCCUCCAGCCUUUUGGCCUUUUUUCCUUUUUGGAGACAGAAUUGCAUCAUAUGGCAUCCUACACAGUCCUGCCUCAGUCUCUGGAGUGCUGGGAUUGUAGGCCUAUGCCACCUAGCCUUUCUACAAU
rnacentral:lncRNA from 1 species